CAGUCGCCACGGGAAUACGAAGGGGGCUAGCGUUGUUCGGAAUUACUGGGCGUAAAGCGCACGUAGGCGGAUCUUUAAGUCAGAGGUGAAAUCCCAAGGCUCAACCUUGGAACUGCCUUUGAUACUGGGGAUCUUGAGUCCGGAAGAGGUGAGUGGAGCUGCGAGUGUAGAGGUGAAAUUCGUAGAUAUUCGCAAGAACACCAGUGGCGAAGGCGGCCCACUGGUCCGGUACUGACGCUGAGGUGCGAAAGCGUGGGGAGCAAACAGGAUUAGAUACCCCUGUAGUCCCUGUCUCUUAUAC
rnacentral:rRNA from 1 species